UACGUAGGGGGCAAGCGUUGUCCGGAUUUAUUGGGCGUAAAGAGCGUGUAGGCGGUUUGGUAGGUCCGCUGUGAAAACUCGAGCUCAACCUCGAGACGCCGGUGGAAACCAUCAGACUAGAGUCCGGAAGAGGAGAGUGGAAUUCCUGGUGUAGCGGUGAAUGCGCAGAUAUCAGGAAGAACACCCGUGGCUAAGGCGGCUCUCUAGUACGGUACUGACGCUGAGACGCGAAAGCGUGGGGAGCGAACAGG
rnacentral:rRNA from 1 species